ACAGUUAGGUGCUGCAUAGGCCUUAUGGGAGCUGUGCUGCUUUCGGCCUGAACGCACCAGGAUGUUUAAAAGUUCACAUGUUCGGCUGUUACCUUCACGAUGACGGCUUUGCGUCCGGCGUAGCGUCCAGCCAGGACCAUCACCACCUUCCCAGGCUUCAUAAACUUGCCCAUUUCUGCCAGGAAAUGGAACAGUCAACAUCACGCCACCAAAGUCAUCACAGGAGCUCUUCCAUUUGUGGGUUGCGGCUGCUGCCUCUGUCCACCAUCUGACAGGAGAGGGUUCCCCACCUCAUCUUUGGGGGGAAAAAAAGAAGGAAUCAAAGUUUAGCCAGAAAUCUCACCGAGUUCUCCAGCUGCUCUGCAUCCGACUUGCAGCCCACGACGUGCGGGCAGCCUCUGAAGGCGAACUCCUCCAGCUCGGCCAGCAUCCUCUCCUUCUCCUCGCUCUGCGCGUGAACGAUCUGCUUCAGUCGGAACUGAACCUGCGCGAAGUGAGAGGUGAGCGCGAGCAGGGACGAGUUCAGCUGCUCCUGCUCGCCCUCCAGCUUCCUCAGCCGCGCGGCCAUCUCCCCCUCGCCAGCCGAGACUCCCUGCUUCGGCUGGCCGCUGCCCCCGCUCUCAACCUCGGGGCUGGCCACGGCUCCCACCGGUGCCCAUCGCUCCCCUGCGUUGGCGAAAACGGCCUCGCUGUCAGACGCUGACAGCUCCUCCGUGGACAUUUUUGGAAUUCACGCAGAUUUGUUGUCGGUAAAUCACGAACAGCGAGCUCCAGAUGGAAGGUUUCCUAAAGUUGAGGUAACAGCGGGGAUAACCGCCCGGGGAACAGGUGCAUCGCCAUUUUGGGAAAAUGAUACGUCACAGCGCCAGAAGGUAAUCCUGAUUGAACGUCAGCAGAAAAACGGAAGUAAUGUGCGAUCGCCUUCAGAAUAAAAUCUCCAACUUCCUUUGAAUGACGCUACCAACCCCCUA